GAGGGAGGAUGGAACCUCUUACAUUCCUCCUCCUAUUAGCAGGACUAGUGGGAGCAGCGUCUACUGACAAUUCAACAACAGUCGCAUCUCUGGUAAACGUGACGUCAGCAUCACCCUCACAGACAACACCAGG